GAAAUACUCCCUCCGUCCCAAAAUUCUUGUCUUAGAUUUGUCUAGAUACGGAUGUAUCUAACACUAAAAUGUAACUAGAUACAUCCGUAUUUAGACAAAUCUAAGACACGAAUUUUGGGAUGGAGGGAGUAUAUA
rnacentral:pre_miRNA from 1 species